rnacentral:rRNA from 1 species
UAAACUAGGAAUUAGAUACCCUAUUAUUAAAAAUAAAUAUGAGCAUACUAAAGUAGUAUUAGUUAUAUUCUUAAAAUUUAAAAAAUUUGGCGGUAUUUUAGUCUAUUCAGAGGAAUCUGUCCUGUAAUUGAUAAUCCACAUUGAACCUUACUUAAAUUUGUUUAAUUUGUAUAUCGCCGUCAUCAGAAUAUAUUAUAAGAUAAAAUUUUCUUAAUAUUUAAUAAAAUAAUAUGUCAGGUCAAGGUGCAGUUUAUGUUUAAGUAGAGAUGGAUUACAAUAAAUUUAUUUAAUAUGGAUAAUUUUUUGAAAUAAAGAUUUGAAAGUGGAUUUGAAAGUAAUAUAAAAUAGAUUAUUUAUAUGAUUUUAGCUCUAAAAUAUGUACAUAUCGCCCAUCGUUCUUAUUUUUAAAAUAAGAUAAGCGUUAAACAUAGUAA